rnacentral:rRNA from 1 species
UACGAAGGGGGCUAGCGUUGCUCGGAAUCACUGGGCGUAAAGCGCACGUAGGCGGACUCUUAAGUCGGUGGUGAAAUCCUGGAGCUCAACUCCAGAACUGCCUUCGAUACUGGGAGUCUCGAGUCCGGAAGAGGAGAGUGGAAUUCCCGGUGUAGCGGUGAAAUGCGCAGAUAUCGGGAAGAACACCCGUGGCUAAGGCGGCUCUCUAGUACGGUACUGACGCUGAGACGCGAAAGCGUGGGGAGCGAACAGG